GGACUACAGGGGUAUCUAAUCCGGUUUGCUCCCCCAGCUUUCGUCCCUUGCCGUCAGGUCCGUUCUGGUGAGACGCCUUCGCCACUGGUGGUCCUUCAAGGAUUACAAGAUUUCACCCCUACCCCUGAAGUACCUCUCACCUCUCCCGGCCUCGAGCCGAACAGUAUCUCCUGAAAGCCUGACAGUUAAGCUGCCAGAUUUCCCAAGAGACUUAUCCGGCCGGCUACAGACCCUUUAGACCCAAUAAUAACGGUUACCACUCGAGCCGCCGGUGUUACCGCGGCGGCUGGCACCGGUCUUGCCCGGCCCUUGCUAUGCAAUGCUUUUUAGGCAUCACGACAGCCAGAUUUGUAACCUGGCACUCGAGGUCCCCUUAUCGCUGUUUCCAGCAUUGUAAAGUUUUCGCGCCUGCUGCGCCCCGUAGG
rnacentral:rRNA from 1 species